ensembl:ncRNA K07H8.14 ncRNA
UUGAUUUGUCGAAUUGUUGAAAGCCGUUGCAAGCCGGCUGCCGCCAGCAAGAAAAUUAACGUUUAAAGGCGCAUGCAUUUAUUCGAGAGAUCGUGGCGAGACCUGCGCCCGCUUAUCGAUGAAUUUCGAAUUUAGAAACAUUCUCUUUG